rnacentral:lncRNA from 1 species
UUUACUCACGGUAUUUAUUUAUACAUACACUUUAAAAAUCACGUAUUCUAACACUUUGCUGUUUCCUUCCAAAGUUUUGAAUAGAAUUCAGUUGCUCCAAGACACACAUUCAUUUACAUGUGGGUUUUUUUUCUUUACUAAAAUACAUUUACUUUUAGUAUUCUCAAGUGCAAAAGAGAGUUGAAUCUUCUAUUGCAUAUGAAAUGGAGACUAGUCUUCCACAAAGAGUAAAAUGAAGUUUUGUAAUGGCCAUCAUCUGUAAUUGCUUACAAUGACAGCAUAAACUCUAGGAUUUUGUUUUAACUUCAUGGCUACAUGGGUAAAGUUAGGUUUGAAAAUCAUUUCAAAAACAAAAUUUAUCAAACAAAAAACCUGGACAGGUUUUUAUUUUUUAUUUUUUUGAGAUGGAGUUUUGCUCUGUUGCCCAGGCUGGAGUGCAGUGGCGCGAUCUCUCAAAAAAAAGAAAAAGAAGAAAAAGAAGAAACCGGGUUUCUCAACUCCAUGUCCUGUGCUUUUCUGACUCUGCAAGAGCCAAGAGGUGUCUUCCUAGGAUGGUCACAGGGAGGUAAUUCCCCCAGCAUGGAGGGUCUGAGUCAAGGGUAAGCUCUGUGCAAGGUGUAUGGCGGGGCGGGAGAAGGUUACCUUGCCCAUAACCUUGCUGCUUACUCCGGUGAGAAAAGAGAAGCAAUCAGAAGAGCAUGUCCACCUGCUCCCCUCACUGCCUCUGCCUACCCACCCGCCUACCUAUCUACAUUUGCCAAGUACUCCGCCAGCCCUCUCCCUAUGAUCUGCCGUGUUUCUGUAGGCCUGAGCUCUACAUAUGCACUACAUCCCAUUCCCUUUGGCUAGCCGUAGUUUAAAAGUAUGUCCACAAAUUCCUUCUGAAGUUGCCAAAUCUAACAAAUAAAAAUACAGGUCAUACAUUAACUUUGAGUUUCAGAUAAAGUCAUUAUUUAGUGUAAGAAUUCCCUAUGCAAUAUGUACUUAGUGACUCCCUUCUAACAAAUCAGAGUAAGGGAUGACAUGCAACUUCUAAUACUAGGUCACAAAAGACACUGUGGUUCCCAUCUUAGUCUCUUGCUCUCUUGGAUGGCUUGCUCUGGGGGAAGUCAGCCAUGCUGUGAGGACAUUCAAGCAGCCCUGUGGAGAGGCCAUGUGGCAAGGAACAAUGGCCGCCUGCCAAAAGCCAUGUGUGGAAGCUUGGAAGAGGGUUCUUCUAGCCCCGGACAAGCUUUUAGAUGACUGUACCCUCAGGAGGAACUUGGACAGAAUCACCCUGCUAAGCUGGAUUCCUGAUCGACUGAAACUGUGAGCUAACUUGCUUUUAAUUUUUAAACCUCUAAGUAGUGGGUAGUUUGUUAUGCAGCGACAGAGCACCACCACACGGACUUCCUGACAUCACUCCAGGAGCUGCCCUCUGUCUGGCAUCAUCGCUUUCAGUCUUUCCUGAUCAUUCCCAGGGGCACACAGACAGGCUGGGUAUGGUGGUGGGUGCCUGUAGUCUCAGCUACUCAGGAGGCUGACCCGGGAGGCGGAGGUUGCAGUGUAUAUCACACACACGGAAAAAUUAUGGAGUAGAGUAUGAAAGCUGAAUAAAACUUGGAAACAGGAAACUUCGAAGACAUGAAGGAUUAGAGCAGGCACGCUGGGAAUCAGCCCUGAAGAGGCAGGCCUGCGUUAAGGGCUGAAUCGGUAGGAAAACUGGGGCAAUGAGGGACGGGUCAGGCCUAGGAGGAGUACCCAUAUAGCUGUCGUCAGCGGACACUCCUUCUGUGUCCCUCAGACUCAGGGCAGUCCCUCCGCCUGCCCUUCAGCAACUCUCCAGAACAAAAGCCGAGGUCACCUCCCCUGCUCUUGAAAACCCUCAAUGGUCAAGAAGCUUUGUCAAAUCCUCAUGAGCCUUGCACAGUGCCAGGUGCUGUACCUAAUGUAAGUGCCUCAUUUUACUCUAAUAAAAACUAAGUAUUAGGCUGAUCUACAGGAGGAAAUGAGAUUCACAGAGAUUAAGGCAACAGUCAAAAGACACAGAACUAGUAGGCAACAGACCUGGAAUUCGACCCUGUGUCAGGGUGGUUCCAAAUGCAAGCUCUUUCUACUAAACUGCCAGCCUCCCAGGUGCCCAGAAGUGAUCCUGGCCCUCCUCCUCUACCCUGAUGUCCUGACCUCCUGGUGUGCUGA